GGGAGGCUGCAGUGGGGAAUAUUGGACAAUGGGGGCAACCCUGAUCCAGCGAUGCCGCGUGAGUGAAGAAGGCUUUAGGGUUGUAAAGCUCUUUUAUCAGGGGCGAAAGGACUGAUUCUAACAGGAUCAGGAGAUGACGGUACCUGAGGAAUAAGCACCGGCUAACUACGUGCCAGCAGCCGCGGUAAUACGUAGGGUGCGAGCGUUAAUCGGAUUUACUGGGCGUAAAGGGUGUGUAGGCGGAUAUUUAAGUUGGAUGUGAAAUACCUGGGCUUAACCGAGGAAUUGCAUUUGAAACUGGAUAUCUAGAGUAAGGCAGAGGGGGGUGGAAUUCCAUGUGUAGCGGUGAAAUGCGUAGAUAU
rnacentral:rRNA from 1 species